UACGUAGGUGGCAAGCGUUGUCCGGAUUUAUUGGGUUUAAAGGGUGCGUAGGCGGCCCUGUAAGUCAGUGCUGAAAUAUCCCGGCUUAACCGGGAGGGUGGCAUUGAUACUGCAGGGCUUGAGUACAGAUGAAGUAGGCGGAAUUGACGGUGUAGCGGUGAAAUGCGCAGAUAUCAGGAGGAACACCGGUGGCGAAGGCGGGUCUCUGGGCCGUAACUGACGCUGAGGAGCGAAAGCGUGGGGAGCGAACAGG
rnacentral:rRNA from 1 species